UACGGAGGGUGCGAGCGUUGUCCGGAAUCAUUGGGCGUAAAGAGCGUGUAGGCGGCCAGAUAAGUCCGCUGUGAAAUCUCGAGGCUCAACUUCGAGCUGUCGGUGGAAACUGUCUGGCUAGAGUCCGGAAGAGGAGAAUGGAAUUCCUGGUGUAGCGGUGAAAUGCGCAGAUAUCAGGAAGAACACCCGUGGCGAAGGCGGUUCUCUGGGACGGUACUGACGCUGAGACGCGAAAGCGUGGGGAGCGAACAGG
rnacentral:rRNA from 1 species